UACGGAGGGGACUAGCGUUGUUCGGAAUUACUGGGCGUAAAGCGCACGUAGGCGGAUUUGUAAGUUAGGGGUGAAAUCCCGGGGCUCAACCUCGGAACUGCCUUUGAUACUGCAAAUCUCGAGUCCGGAAGAGGUGAGUGGAAUUCCUAGUGUAGAGGUGAAAGUUCGUAGAUAUUAGGAAGAACACCAGUGGCGAAGGCGGCUCACUGGCCCGUAACUGACGCUGAGGCACGAAAGCGUGGGGAGCAAACAGG
rnacentral:rRNA from 1 species